UCUCCGUUGGUGAACCAGCGGAGGGAUCAUUACCGAGUUUUCAACUCCCAAACCCCAUGUGAACUUAUACCAUUUACAACCGUUGCUUCGGCGGGUUCUCGCCCCGGGCUUUACACCCCGGAACCAGGCGGCCCGCCGGGGGACCCAAACUCUAGAUUUUUAUUUUAGCAUGUCUGAGUGGAAUCAUUACAAAAUGAAUCAAAACUUUCAACAACGGAUCUCUUGGUUCUGGCAUCGAUGAAGAACGCAGCGAAAUGCGAUAAGUAAUGUGAAUUGCAGAAUUCAGUGAAUCAUCGAAUCUUUGAACGCACAUUGCGCCCGCCAGUAUUCUGGCGGGCAUGCCUGUUCGAGCGUCAUUUCAACCCUCAAGCCCCAGCGGUUUGGUGUUGGGGACCGGCGAGCACAGAGGCUUUGGGGACUUGUCCCCCUUCCCUCGGCGCCGCCCCCGAAAUGAAUUGGCGGUCUCGUCGCGGCCUCCUCUGCGUAGUAGCACAACCUCGCAUCAGGAGCGCGGCGCGGCCACUGCCGUAAAACGCCCAACUUUUUUUAAGAGUUGACCUCGAAUCAGGUAGGAAUACCCGCUGAACUUAAGCAUAUCAAUAAGCGGAGGAAAAGAAACCAACAGGGAUUGCCCCAGUAACGGCGAGUGAAGCGGCAACAGCUCAAAUUUGAAAUCUGGCCCCUAGGGCCCGAGUUGUAAUUUGCAGAGGAUGCUUUUGGCGAGGUGCCUUCCGAGUUCCCUGGAACGGGACGCCAUAGAGGGUGAGAGCCCCGUCUGGUUGGAUGCCGAGCCUCUGUAAAGCUCCUUCGACGAGUCGAGUAGUUUGGGAAUGCUGCUCUAAAUGGGAGGUAUAUGUCUUCUAAAGCUAAAUACCGGCCAGAGACCGAUAGCGCACAAGUAGAGUGAUCGAAAGAUGAAAAGCACUUUGAAAAGAGGGUUAAAUAGUACGUGAAAUUGUUGAAAGGGAAGCACUUAUGACCAGACUUGGACCCGGUGAAUCAUCCAGCGUUCUCGCUGGUGCACUUUGCCGGGCUCAGGCCAGCAUCAGUUUGCCUCGGGGGAUAAAGGCUUUGGGAAUGUGGCUCCCUCGGGAGUGUUAUAGCCCAUUGCACAAUACCCUGGGGCGGACUGAGGUUCGCGCAUCUGCAAGGAUGCUGGCGUAAUGGUCAUCAGUG
rnacentral:sRNA from 1 species